rnacentral:rRNA from 1 species
CAAUAGCGUAUAUUAAAGCUGUUGCGGUUAAAAAGCUCGUAGUUGGAUUUCUGUCAAGGACAACUGGUCCGCCCUCCGGGUGAGCACAUAGUUUGGUCUUGACAUCUUGCUGGAAGCUGUUGCUGCACUUGGCUGUGUGGCGCAGUGUUCAGCACUUUCACUUUGAGGAAAUUGGAGUGUUUCAAGCAGGCACAUGCCUUUGGACACAGUAGCAUGGAAUAAUUAGGUUGGGCUUUUGCUCCAAUUUGUCGGUUUCUGGAGCUGAGGUGAGUAUUAAUGGGGAUUGUUGGGGGCAUCCGAAUUUAGCCGUCAGAGGUGAAAUUCUUGGAUCUGCUAAAGACGGACAACUGCGAAAGCGUUUGCCCAGGAUGUUUUCAUUGA